UCUAUGCCAGCUAAAAAGAUUACAUUACCCAAUACUUAAAUUUUAAAGGUCAAAAAUUAACUGUUGUUCUUAAGAAUAGGUUUUAAUGAACAAAACAAAUCAUUUAAAAGUGUUUAAAUUAACCGUCAGCAGUUAUAUCGAUUACGAUAAGCCAUAUCUUCAAUUUACGUUCUUACUUGCCUUCUUUAUUUAAACAUGACAUCAGUGUUUUUUAGCCUUCAGUCCAAAAUAAAAUUCUAGUAUAGCUGUCAUUCAGUGCAAUAUAAGUCGAGUGUAAAAGCAUAUAUAUUAUUCAGGUGGUAGAGCCUAGCUGUGGUCAAAUAACUACAGCUCAAACAUGGGUAGGUUUGACCGGGGAAGUACCACCCUCUCACAAGAUCGGCGUGAAGUAGUAUUUAAUGACUGCGUUUCGUCCAUGAGUGAGAAAGCCGAUUGCGCUUUUCCUGUUCCCACCCUUUCCUGUCAUUCCUUAUUCCCACACCUCUCUUUUCCUCAACAACUAAGGUUGGCAACGCAUCCGCAACAUCUAUGUUGCGGAUGUCCAUGGACGACGGUGACUGCUGCUAAUCAAGUAGGCCGUCUGCUCGUUUGCCAACUUUUACAUAAAAAAAGGGAAACUUUUUAUGCGAGUUCCUACAAGGAUGCGUUAAGCGUUGGGGCAGGAGGAAGGUUAAAAGAGAUAAAGCUAGGGGGAUUCCGUGGCUUGGCGACGCAUGCGGGCAAUCAAUUGCGACUUUGCGAAGUUACGAGAAACACCUUUUUUACGACCCACUAUAUAUUUUCACCAUCUUCAAGUGGACAUUUGUCGAUCGUGGACCACAAAUGGCGGUGAUUAAAGCAGGUGCUUAUCAGGUAAAAGGUAGGCAAUAAAAGGGUUCAUUUACGUAAUAGCAUAAAUGAUCUUACUGAUGUUCUUUCUUUGUUACGUGGUGUUAGGAAUACAAGAGCGCCUUAUCUUUCAAAUUACACGUCUCUGCGCGAACGUUUAGAAAGGACUUAAUUGGCUGAAUUUAAAACUCAUCAAAUGUAUCUGUCAUUAAAAAAAAAAGUUAUAUAUUUAAAGGUUAUUUCGUCAAACGAACCUAUGAAGGAUCUAUCAAAAUCGAAAGAUUUUUCAAUAAUAUCAAGGUAAUGGUAAUCAGUCUAUUUAGACCUGCACAUACUUCCAAUAAAGUAUCAAAACAUUACUGAAAUCAAGUUUUUGAGAAUCUUCAUUAUAUUAAAUAAUAUAUUUGUGUAAAUCAUUUUUUUUUUACGGAUUGUCAAGUGCAUUUGGUAUCAGUAUAUAAAGAAAUCAAUUUAUAAGAUACUUAAAAAAAAAACUUCUAAAUUCUUUACUCGUCUGACCAUUAUCAAGGUUGCUGCAAAGUAGGGAGUGUGUAGUUUAAAAUAAUUAAAAUCAUGUAGUAAAUUCAAGAACAUCAUUUUAGUUUUCCUUCAGUAACAAGAAGCAGAUUGGUUUAUUUACAACGACAAAACAUAUAUCUAAAA